GGUGGCAGCCGCUCGUUUCUGCCACGUCCCUCCCGGGCGAAGGCGAGCCUGGCGGGCAGCGGCCGGGAAGCGCCACGGCACGUGCGCGCCGAUGCCAAUGGGAGAAGGAUUGUUUAAUACAACGUGUGUUGGUGUGUGAAGACUGCCUUGCUGCCUGACGAUUAGAAGAAGUCCAUUUAAACGAGGGGACAGGUAGCAAGCAAGAACAAGUGUUUAAAAACUACAGUGGGAUUUGUUUUUAAGUGUGCUUGUGAAGACGUUGGCAAAAUUUUGAUCAAAAGGCUGUGAGAGAGGUUUUUACACCGGACCCAAUCCGACGCCAAAAAGAGACGAGGUCGACCGGAAGAAGCAUCUCUUGGCUGUCCCUUUGACCCCUCUUUGGUUAGAUUUCCUUGGCGAGAGGUCCAGGAAAGAAGGAG